rnacentral:rRNA from 1 species
UCAAGUUACGAAGAGCGCAGGGCGGAUGCCUUGGCACCGUAAGCCGAUGAAGGACGUGACAAGCUGCGAAAAGCUGCGGAGAGGAGCAAAUAUCCAAUGAUCCGCAGAUAUCCGAAUGGGGAAACCUGGCCGGGGUAAAUGCCCGGUCGACCGUACAUGAAUUCAUAGUGUGCGGCUGGGAACGACGUGAAUUGAAACAUCUUAGUAGCGUCAGGAAAAGAAAUCAAACGAGAUUCCGCUAGUAGUGGCGAGCGAAUGCGGAAGAGGCCAAACCGCAAAACUUCGGUUUUGCGGGGUUAAGGACCAUCGGAAAGGUGAAACUUGUUAGCAGAAUGAGCUGCUGGAAAGCAGAGUCCAAAGAGCGUAAAAGUCGCGUAUGCGAAAACGAGAGAAGCCUGGAUGGCACCAGAGUACCACGAGACACGAGAAACCUUGUGGGAAGUCGGGGGGACCACCCUCCAAGCCUAAACACUUACGGUGACCGAUAGUGAAGCAGUACUGUGAAGGAAAGGUGAAAAGAACCCCGGGAGGGGAGUGAAAGAGAACCUGAAACCCUGUGUUUACAAGCAGUCGAAGAGCGUUAAGGCUCGACGGCGUACUUUUUGUAGAACGGUCCGACGAGUUGCGGUAUGUGGCAAGGUUAAGCACUGGAGGUGCGGAGCCGAAGCGAAAGCGAGUUUUAAUAGAGCGAGAAGUCACAUGCUGCAGACCCGAAACCGGGUGACCUAUCCAUGAGCAGGUUGAAAGCGAGGUAAAACUCGCCGGAGGACCGAACUCGUAUCUGUUGAAAAAGGUUGAGAUGACUUGUGGAUAGCGGAGAAAUUCCAAUCGAACCCGGAGAUAGCUGGUUCUCCCCGAAAUAGCUUUAGGGCUAGCCUCGCAGAGAGUCUACCGGAGGUAGAGCACUGAAUGGUCUAGGGGCCUUACCAGGUUACCGAAACUUAUCAAACUCCAAAUGCCGGCAAGAUAGCUGCGGGAGUCAGUCCAUGACAGAUAAGUGCCAUGGACAAAAGGGAAACAGCCCAGACCGCCAGCUAAGGUCCCCAAAUGUUCGUUAAGUGGAAAAGGAUGUGGAUUUGCAAAAACAGCCAGGAUGUUGGCUCAGAAGCAGCCACUCAUUUAAAGAGUGCGUAACAGCUCACUGGUCGAGUGAGUCUGCGCCGAAGAUAUACGGGGCUAAACGAACUACCGAAGCUGCGGAAUUCCAAUGGGAUUGGUAGGGGAGCGUACCCCAGGGAGCAGAAGCACGAUCGAAAGGACGUGUGGAUCCAAGGGUAGUGAGAAUGUCGGAAUAAGUAACGAGAGCAAGGUGAGAAUCCUUGCCGUCGAAAAUCCAAGGUUUCCUGGGGAAGGUUCGUCCGCCCAGGGUAAGUCGGGACCUAAGGUCAGGCCUAAAGGCGUAGCCGAUGGAGAACAGGUUGAAAAUCCUGUACCGCCGGUUCAUGUUUGACAGAAGCAGGGACGCAGGAGGAUAACUGGAGCACGCGACAGGAAGAGCGUGUCUAAGCAGAGUAGCGGUCUGGUAGUAAAGCACGCCAGGCAACGCGAAGCUGUGAUGGGGAGGGAAAAUUCCAAAGUACCGAAGCCAGUCAUUCCACACUGACGAGAAAAGCUGCUAUGGAGUGGACAGGCGCCCGUACCGCAAACCGACACAGGUAGAUGAGGAGAGAAUCCUAAGACGAGCGGGCUAAGCAUUGUUAAGGAACUCGGCAAAUUAACCCCGUAAGUUCGCAAGAAGGGGCGCCUGCUGAAAGGCAGGCCGCAGUGAAAUGGCCCGAGCAACUGUUUAGCAAAAACACAGGCUUCCGCGAAAUCGAAAGAUGAAGUAUGGGGGCUGACGCCUGCCCGGUGCUGGAAGGUUACGGGAAUCUGUUAGCGCAAGCGAAGCAGUGAACUUAAGCCCCAGUAAACGGCGGCCGUAACUAUAACGGUCCUAAGGUAGCGAAAUUCCUUGUCAGGUAAGUUCUGACCCGCACGAAUGGCGUAAU